UUACAGACUUAAUAUUUAUGUUGUUAUUUUAAUAAAGUGUUCUAUUUUUAUAGAAAAAGCAUACUUGACUGCAUUGUGUGCUAAAUAUUCUGGCCUCAUCAGUUAUCUAUCUCUGGGAAAGUUACAAUGCCUGUCAGGCUCUGUCUUUUUCCCCUGAUGGCUGAUAAAUAAAUGGAAGAACACAAAAAUUGGCUCUUCUGGCCUGUGGACCUAACCCUUCUGAAGCGAUGGCUGAUAUCACUCUUCCCUCUCUUUCUGCUAGAGGCUGACACUUAUCUUACCCGGUUCACCAUCCCUCAGAUAUACAAUUACUCUGUUCUCCUUGUGGAUCCUGCUUCCCAUACACUUUAUGUCGGCGCCCGGGACACCAUCUUCGCUUUGUCUCUGCCCUUCUCAGGGGAGAGACCUCGAAGGGCCGUGUCCAGUUUCCAGCAGGUUGAAAGAAUUGAGAGUGGCCGGGGGAAAUGUCCUUUUGAGCCAGCUCAGCGGUCAGCAGCUGUAAUGGCUGGUGAGUGGGAGAGAUAAGAACCUGUGACUUCUUGCUGUAAUUGCUGCCUUCCCCACCCCUGCUGUUGGAAUUUCUGUGUCCUUUCUUUCGUUUGCUAGGAAUGUCUAUUAUUCCCAUGUCUCUUUCUAGCCUUUCCUCUUCUCCCCAGCGUGCCUGUGUCCUGUUUUUCUCCAGAGUACCAUUUCCCUGGGUUCUCCCUAGAGAAUAUGUUCUCUGCACCUCUAAUGUGUUUCCUCUGCUAACCUAAUCCCCCCGCCCCCAUUUUAUUUCUGUUCAUAAGAGGACUCUGCUACAAUGCAUAUUGUAAUACACUUGGAAAAAGUAUAAAGAACAUAUGAACAGAAAUGUUCGAAAGAACUUUGUGUGAUGAUAUGAAUGCUCUGUAUCUUUGCUGUCCAAAGUAGCCACUAGCUACAUGUGGCUAUUGAGCUUCUAGUGCGACUGAACGAAAGGGUUUUGGGUUGUAUUUAAUUUCAGUUUAAAUGUAAGUAGUCACAUGUGUAUAGUGGCUAAUAUAUUAGCAAAGGUCUAGAGUAUCUACUCAGAAAACCACUGUUAAUAUUUUAAGAUAUUUCCUUUUAGCCUGUUGUAAUGUGUAUGCAAGCGCAUAUUUUACUGGCCAGUCCUUUGUAGCUCAGAGGAGUCAGUAAUGACUAUUCAUUAAGUUCCUGCUGUUACUUCCUUUGAACAAGCCAUAUACAGUU